rnacentral:rRNA from 1 species
AGCUCCAAUAGCGUAUAUUAAAGUUGUUGCGGUUAAAAAGCUCGUAGUUGGAUCUCAGAGGGGCGCUCGUGGUUGGCCCGAUGGGUUUUACUGCGUUCGCCUUUCACCGACCGCUGGUCGCGUGUGCUCUUUGUUGAGUGUUCGUCGACUGCGGCCACGUUUACUUUGAAAAAAUUAGAGUGUUCAAAGCAGGCGUUUUUCGCCCGCAUACCCCAGCAUGGAAUAAUGGAAUAGGAGGCUGGUUCUAUUUCGUUGGUUUUCGGAAUCUAGCCUAAUGGUUAAGAGGGACGGACGGGGGCAUUCGUAUUGUGGCGUUAGAGGUGAAAUUCUUAGAUCGCCGCAAGACGAACAAGUGCGAAAGCAUUUGCCAAGAAUGUUUUCAUUAAUCAAGAACGAAAGU